UACGAAGGGGGCUAGCGUUGUUCGGAAUUACUGGGCGUAAAGGGCGCGUAGGCGGUCAGCACAUGUCAGUUGUGAAAUCUCCGGGCUUAACUCGGAAAGGUCAACUGAUACUGUGCGACUAGAGUGCAGAAGGGGCAACUGGAAUUCUCGGUGUAGCGGUGAAAUGCGUAGAUAUCAGGAGGAACACCGGUGGCGAAGGCGGGUCUCUGGGCCGAUACUGACGCUGAGGAGCGAAAGCGUGGGGAGCGAACAGG
rnacentral:rRNA from 1 species